AUGAGGUCCCAUCACUCCGUCAAUGGUCACAUCAUGCUGGUUUGCAUUCGCGAAAACACGGCCCACCUCUGGUUUGCAAGCACGCAGUGUGCACAUGUAUGCGCACUUGUGUGGCACAGCACACAGACACAACGGAGAAGGGGUCUGCAGGGUGUCGGUGCGGUGAAUGCUGUCUGGGAGGACCAGAGGACGGCUUCAUGGGACGGGGAGUGUCAUGGGGGGCCUGGAAGGGGAACUCUCAGGGGACAGAGCUGGCCCUGGGCCCCUCGCUGCAGGGCGAGCCCCACCAUCUGCACCACCCAGCUGAAGAUGGAGCAGGCGGCUCCCUCUGGGCUGGCCUCUGUCGCCCACCCCCCAUGCUCUGGUCAUCCAAAGAGACAGCCAUGUGCACCCAGAACGAGUCCUGGAGAAGGACCAAGGCCAGCGCUGGCCCCAGGCUGCAGGUGUCUGAUGCUGCUGAAUAAUUCAUGGUCAGCCCCAGUCAAGCAUCUUCCCCCAGAGGAGCGCUAUCUGCCUCCCAGGUGGUGUCCCCCAAAGACAGGCAGCCCUGCUGCUCCAUCACUCCUGUCUUAUUGCGCUGAAACCUCAUCUGUCUUCUCGAUCGUGAGCGUUAUUCCAGAAGGCUGCCUUCUCCAGAGCACAGCACUGUCCCGCAGCAUCUUGUUUAGUGCAAUUAUUUAAUGGCUGUCUUCCAGGUGCAUGAGGAGAGGGGCUGCGUUUCUCUUGUUCAUGGCUGUAUCUCCAGGGCCUGGCACACCGGGCAAGAGGGGAUGGCUGGAUGGAUGGGUGGGUGAGUGAAUGGAUGGAUGGGUAGGUGGAUGGGUGGAUUGAUGGGUGUGUGGAUGGAAGGAUAGAUGAGUGGAUGGAUGGAUGGAUGGAUGGAUGGAUGGAUGGGUGGAUGGAUGGGUAUGUAGAUGGAUGGAUGGAUGAGUGCAUAGAUGGAUGGAUGGGUGGAUGGAUGGGUAUGUAGAUGGAUGGAUGGAUAGGUGUGUGGGUGGGUGGAUGGAUGGAUGAUGGAUGGAUGGGUGGAUGGAUGGGUAUGUAGAUGGAUGGAUGGAUAGGUGUGUGGGUGGGUGGAUGGAUGGAUGAUGGAUGGUUGAUGGAUGGAUGGGUAUGUAGAUGGAUGGAUGGAUGAGUGCAUAGAUGGAUGGAUGGGUGGAUGGAUGGGUAUGUAGAUGGAUGGAUGGAUGGAUGAUGGAUGGAUGGGUGGAUGGAUGGGUAUGUAGAUGGAUGGAUGGAUGGAUGAUGGAUGGAUGGGUGGAUGGAUGGGUAUGUAGAUGGAUGGAUGGAUAGGUGUGUGGGUGGGUGGAUGGAUGAUGGAUGGAUGGAUGGAUGGGUGUGUGGAUGGAAGGAUGGAUGAGUGGAUAGAUGGAUGGAUGGAUAGAUGGGUGUGUGGAUGGAAGGAUGGAUGAGUGGAUAGUGGAUGCAUGGAUGGAUGGGUGUGUGGAUGGAAGGACGGACAGCUGGAUGAAGAGAUGGGAUAAAUGAUGCUCAGCAAAGGUUGGGGCUGGGGCCUCAGGAAAACCACUUGCCUCCUCUCCACCUGCUGCUCAGGUCUGAGAGCUUGUGGUAUCUCCUCUACUGGUCCUGUCUAGGACCUUGGUCCCUGUGACCAGUGUCUGGCCCCUGAGCCCCCCAGGCAGGGACAGAGCAGCAGACUAAAGAACAGGAUCUGACAGAGGAUAAAGGCCAGACGAGGGAGGAACUGGGGGCAGAGCAGCCCAGAACAAAUAAAGCCCAGUCUGAGAAAGUGCUGGGCA
rnacentral:lncRNA from 1 species